AGUUCGGAUUGAAGGCUGAAAUUCGCCUUCAUGAAGCCGGAAUUGCUAGUAAUGGCAGGUCAGCAUACUGCCGUGAAUACGUUCCCGGGCCCUUGUACACACCGCCCGUCACACCAUGAGAGUUGGGAAUACCCGAAGCCUGUGAGCUAACGUUAAGAGGCAGCAGUCGAAGGUAGAAUCAAUGAUUGGGGUGAAGUCGUAACAAGGUACC
rnacentral:rRNA from 1 species